CCUCAAUCUCAGAAUUACAAAUAAUAAAAAAACAAAACAACUUAAUCUCAGAAUUCCAAAUAAUAAAAGCACCAAGGUAACUAACCAAGAGCGGCGAGCUUGUUUCCAACUGUUCAACAGGUCCAACGGUAGUGUUCUUGAUUACACUGUAGUGUUCUUAUUUUCCGUAAAUUGCUUGUUUCCCUGUGGCAAAACAUCGCCGCCUCC
rnacentral:misc_RNA from 1 species